UACGGAGGGUGCGAGCGUUGUCCGGAAUCAUUGGGCGUAAAGGGCGCGUAGGUGGCCCGGUCAGCGUGCGGUGAAAGCUCGGGGCUCAACCCCGAGUCGGCCGUGCGAACUGCUGGGCUGGAGCACUGUAGAGGCAGGCGGAAUUCCGGGUGUAGCGGUGGAAUGCGUAGAGAUCCGGAAGAACACCGGUGGCGAAGGCGGUCUGCUGGGCAGUCGCUGACACUGAGGCGCGACAGCGUGGGGAGCAAACAGG
rnacentral:rRNA from 1 species